UGAGGAAUAUUGGACAAUGGGGGCAACCCUGAUCCAGCCAUGCCGCGUGCAGGAAGACGGUCCUAUGGAUUGUAAACUGCUUUUAUACAGGAAGAAACACUGGUUCGUGAACCAGCUUGACGGUACUGUAAGAAUAAGGAUCGGCUAACUCCGUG
rnacentral:rRNA from 1 species